CGGCAGGCCUAACACAUGCAAGUCGAGGUGGUAGAGGAAGCUUSCUUCCUUGAGACCGGCGCACGGGUGCGUAACGCGUAUGCAAUCUACCUUGUACAGAGGGAUAGCCCAGAGAAAUUUGGAUUAAUACCUCAUAGUAUUAUUGAAUGGCAUCAUUUAAUAAUUAAAGUUCCAACGGUACAAGAUGAGCAUGCGUCCUAUUAGCUAGUUGGUGUGGUAACGGCAUACCAAGGCUACGAUAGGUAGGGGUCCUGAGAGGGAGAUCCCCCACACUGGUACUGAGACACGGACCAGACUCCUACGGGAGGCAGCAGUGAGGAAUAUUGGACAAUGGGCGCAAGCCUGGAUCCAGCCAUGCCGCGUGCAGGAAGACGCAUCUAUGGUGUGUAAACUGCUUUUGUACGGGAAGAAACACUCCCUCGUGAGGGAGCUUGACGGUACCGUAAGAAUAAGGAUCGGCUAACUCCGUGCCAGCAGCCGCGGUAAUACGGAGGAUCCAAGCGUUAUUCGGAAUCAUUGGGUUUAAAGGGUCCGUAGGCGGUUUAAUAAGUCAGUGGUGAAAGCCCAUCGCUCAACGAUGGAACGGCCAUUGAUACUGUUAGACUUGAAUUACAAGGAAGCAACUAGAAUAUGUAGUGUAGCGGUGAAAUGCUUAGAUAUUACAUGGAAUACCAAUUGCGAAGGCAGGUUACUACUUGUGGAUUGACGCUGAUGGACGAAA
rnacentral:rRNA from 1 species